UACGGGGGGGGCAAGCGUUGUCCGGAUUUAUUGGGCGUAAAGCGCUCGCAGGUGGUUCAUUGCGUCGUGCGUGAAAGACCCCGGCUCAACUGGGGAGGGUCGUGCGAAACGGGUGAACUAGAGGCCAGUAGGGGGAUGUGGAAUUCCGGGUGUAGUGGUGGAAUGCGUAGAGAUCCGGAGGAACACCAGUGGCGAAAGCGCUCUACUGGGCCAUAACUGACACUGAGGGACGAAAGCUAGGGGAGCGAAAGGG
rnacentral:rRNA from 1 species